GACGAACGCUGGCGGCGUGCCUAAUACAUGCAAGUCGAACGCAGUGGGGACGGGUGAGUAACACGUGGGUAACCUCCCAUCAGAGGGGAUAACACUUGGAAACAGGUGCUAAACCGAUACUGAUGGAUGGACCCGCGGUGCAUUAGCUAGUUGGUGAGGGAACGGCUCACCAAGGCCACGAUGCAUAGCCGACCUGAGAGUGGGAGCGGCAAAACUGGGAUGUAGACAAGGACCAGACUCCUACGGGAGGCAGCAGGAGGGAAGCGUCGGCAAGGGAUGAAAUGCUGACCGAUGAACGCCGCGUGAGUGAAGAAGGUUUUCGGAUCGUAAAACUCUGUUGUUAGAGAAGCGGUAUCUAACCAGAAAGCCACGGCUAACUACGGGCCAGCAGCCGCGGUAAUAC
rnacentral:rRNA from 1 species